CUACCCGGGUAUCUAAUCCUGUUUGCUCCCCACGCUUUCGUGCAUGAGCGUCAAUAUUAUCCCAGGGGGCUGCCUUCGCCAUUGGUAUUCCUCCACAUCUCUACGCAUUUCACUGCUACACGUGGAAUUCUACCCCCCUCUGACAUAUUCUAGUCUGGCAGUUUCAAACGCAGUUCCCAAGUUGAGCUCGGGGAUUUCACAUCUGACUUGCCAAACCGCCUGCGCACGCUUUACGCCCAGUAAUUCCGAUUAACGCUCGCACCCUACGUAUUACCGCGGCUGCUGGCAC
rnacentral:rRNA from 1 species